CGAUGAGCUUGCGUCUGCGGAUAUGGAGGUAACGGUAGUGUGGAUACGCCGGGGUGGAGAAGGAGGUGACCGAAGUUACGAUACGUGGGGGUGAUGUGUGUUUGAGGGGAGGUGUAGGUAUGCGAGUGACCUAGGUAGCUUUGUAAACCUUAACUUCACAAGUAAGUUAUCUGAGUUUGUUAAGUGUAGUGGAGUAAUAAAAAGAUAAAGUGGAAAGUAGUAUUUUUAGUACAAAGCCUAUGCUUAUGGCCAUGGAAAUAGUGUUAUGCAUUAUUUUUGUUUGUGUGUGCUUAAAAUAAAGUACAUUAAGAAUAAUGUAAUUAAAUAACAUUUUACUAUAUGCUAAAAAUGUUUGUUACCCCUAAAAGGCAUCUUGCAUGUUACAUCAUAUGCAAGGUGAUGAAAGUUGAAAAAGUUAUACCAGUAAUUAUAUGCAAAUUAAAUAAGGUUGUCAACACUAUAAAUUGUACUUCGACCUUUUCUUUUAGUGCAAGUGUGAAUCAACAUCCACUCAAACCUCUUUUUUUUUUACUUAUUUUAUUGUUUUUAUCUUUUUUUUUUUACUUAUUUUUACCUAUACGUUUCAAAAAAAAAAAAGUAUAGUACUAUUUAAGAGCUUAGCUUACUAAUGAUUACAAGUAUUUAGCUACUAUAACAUACAUCAGAGAUUGGCAAAUUGUAAGUGUGCGCUAGCUAACUUCCCUCCUAGCCUAAUGUAAUUCACCUAAAAGAUUCUCUUUCAUACACUCCCACCCUCCUCCUGCUCCUCCUCCUCCUCCUCCUCCUUCUUCUUCUUCUUCAUUCUCCGCCAGUUUUAUUUCUACCUUUACUACUUCAUAAUGAUAGGAAGACCUGGAACAAGGAUUGGGUUGGCGUUAAGAGUCGAUCAAGGGACUUGUGCAACCAUCACCUUUCUGAUCAUGUUAUUGGCAAAUAAGUCAGCGUUUUACGCAUGUACGAUUUUCAACAUAUUAUUUUAUCUAUGGGGAUUCAAUUUUUAUGGAAUCUCGGAGUUGCAAUCCUUGAUAUUAUGACGAUGAGGAGGAACUUAAACCUCCGGUCGCUUUCGUGGUUGAUGUUUUUUUCCGCGAGAGAUUGCUUGUUCGUUAUGUUUUCACUCUCUGAAGCAUGCUCAAUCAGAGAAGGAUAGAAGAGGAGAAAACUAAGAAAGCAGGAAGGGAGGACUGAGAUUUGUUAGCAAAAUAGAAAAGCAACUACUGUUUUUGUGCAAUGUCGCGAUGACCGUUAAUUGUACAUCUAUAAUUAAUAUUAUAUUGUAUCAAUAUAAAAAUAUAAAUUCAUGUUUUACUAUA